CAGUUAUCUCGUCCCUCCUCCUCCAGCUUCAUCGCACCCCUGCCUUCGUCGUCGCUUCCGAAGACAACAUGAAGUUCCUGUACAUCGUGCUCCUGUGCCUGGUGGCGGUCGCCGCGGCCAGAAACUGGUACAGCUUCGACCUGGACGACGACGACCUCUUCUACCGGCCCGCCCGCAGGUCGUGGAAGGCCGUGGGCGGCUGGCGGGCGGCUUCGGCUCCGUCCAGAACCCUCUACUUCGACAGCGACGAGGAUUCGGACAGUUAUGAGGACUAGGGGCUAUGGCUUCGACUUAGACAAAAAAGAAAAAAAAAAAAGUUCCUUAAGUCAAGUCUCAGCCUUUUUCCUCUUUCUUCGUCUCCUCCACUUCCCUUGUUUAUUCCUCGCCCCCCUCCCCCCCCAAGGUCAUCAGCUUCAACAUAGGUGCUGGCUUACAAAAUGAGCUCAUAUUAAUCUCUAAUAAUUAAUUAAAGUUUAUUCUUCGA